UCAAGAAAAUCCACUCACACAAUUAAUUAGCUCUUCUUCUCACAAAAAUCAGCUACUCAAAACUCUAUUAGCAUGGCUAAAAAAUGUCUAUCUCACAAACUCUCUUUCUUUUUUGUUGUUCUCCUUGUGACACUGACUGUUGAUUCAUUUUGGUCCUCAAACACUCAAGUGAUGGCUUUGCGAAACUUACCUUUAGAAAUAGCUUGAAUCUCAUAUUAUUAACGUAUUCUCUAUGGUCUUUUUAUUUUUAUCUGCUCCUUUUGAGCUUGUGUUAUUCGUAACAGUGUACGUUGUAAAAAAGAAGUGACUAUCUACCGUUCCAAAUAAAUUUGUAAUGGACAUCAACUACUAUUUGUGAUCUCCAUGUAUGACUAUGUAAAACUAAUAUUUAUGAUAUGUUUUUUUUUAUUUCCUUUA